AAGGCCGUGUCCAGGGCUGCGCCCAGGUCCCUACUCUGCCCGGGGCGGGUUUGCGGGCCAAGCUGGGUGAUGGGCUCCUGCCCCCUCCGCCCCCUACCUGCUCCCUGUGCCAGGGGAGAAACCAAGGCCCAGAGUUCACCCGGGGGCGGUGAGAUUCCAGACUGAGGAGGGGGCACUCGCCCCCGUUCGUCGUCCCACCCCCACCAGACUCCGUAGGGUGCCAGGGACGGGGAGAGAGCGAUCCCCCGCCCAAGGCCCCGCUGCCCCUUACUGUUUUGGGCGCUGUGCCUGGGAGGCUGAGGCACCCCGCGCCCUCGCCCGCGCCCAGCUGGUCUACUCUCGGGGCUGGGGCGUCGGCGCGGCCCCGGCCGCACCUGGAAAGGAAGGGGUCUUGGGAAUCUCUGGAGCAGCGUGGGGACCCUACUCCUUGUGGAAGCAGCGAUUCAGUGUGUGUUAACAGUGUGGAUGCCGGUCCCGCUCCCCCUCUGGGUGGCGGGGGUGGGGGUAGCAGGAAGGGGUCUUGAGCAACCAUGUUGUUUGUUAACUUAAACGUUUGUGCGGCGCUGUGUACCGGUCGCUGUGGACGCGAUCUCUGGUGCUGAGGGGAUUUGAGGGUUCCUCACACUGGCGGGAUUUGGAGCCUCUACCCUGGUGGCAGUGGGUUUAGUGGGUUACCCUGGUGGCUAGUGGUUAAGUGCUAAGGCUGCUAGCCAAAAGGUUGGCAGUUUGAAUCCACCAGGCGCUCCUUGGAAACUCUGUGGGGCAGUUCUACUCUGUCCUAUAGGGUCGCUAUGAGUCAGAAUUGACUCGAUGGCCACAGGUGUGGUUUUUUUUUUUUUUUUAGGUUGGAGAUUAGGUGUCUCUCGGGCUGACAUUUGAAGGUCUGGAGCUGGCCGUUUAUGAGGGUUUAUAAGGGUUUUAAGUGCUCCGGCCAUGGGCACCAACCCGAUCUUCCAGCCCCUGCGGACGGACCGCCUCCCCCGCCCCGGGGGGAUUGGCUGCUCUGGGACCCCGAGCCCAGAGGGCGGUGAGAAGCUGACAAACCUUAAAUACAGACCAGAAGAGGAGUUUGGGGCUUGACACCUGACGUCUUAACACCAGUUCCUGUUUCUUGAGGAAGGAAGAGGUAAAAUAAAUCAGCGUUUACUGUGUCCUUCUCCAUCCCCGGAAGUCUUCAUGAAGACCCUCUCAGCUUCUACUUGAACGUGAAUAUGAGCAACUGAUCAUCUGUUCUGCGGUCAGCCCCUGGCCUGAUUCUGACUCAUGAUAUUGACCUUCUCCAUCAUCACCUUCCACAAAUUUGAUUCCUAUCUAUUCUGCCUGGAAUAGUUCAUGAGUAUAGUCACCAUUUAUGUUCCUGACGAAAGACAUUAUGCUCAUUCUCAGGGCCCUGAGACCUCAUCUGCAGCAGGUGAAGGCAUUCGUGGAGAGAGGCGGUUUCCGUGCGUGCAGGCAAAGUGUGUGCUGAGAUGAGUCGCUGGAGACUGGGGUGGACUCUUCAGACCCAGGAUAGGCCUCUGGCAGGUAUAUGUCAAUGUUUUCUGCCCAUGGCACUCACCCGGAUAUUUGCAUACAAUGUUAUCAGUGGAAUUAGUAGUCUCCAGAGAGGCUGCCACAUGUCAGCAAGCUUCACCUGGCCAGGUCCGCCCAGGAUGUAGCUCCCCAAUCAAUCACUACUCUCUAGACCUUCCAGAUAGACUAGCAGAUCUUCUCUGCCCAUGGGCAACCAGUAGAGCCAGAGGCCUUCUCUCUUUGCUCUUUCGUCUCUAGGCAUUCUAUCAGGCAUUCCAAGCUGUGAAGUGCCUGGGAGGAGAAGGAAGAGAUUUCAGAGAAUGAACACAUACAGAGAGACAGGCAAGAGACGGUGAGUGGGGAUGUCUUGCCUACUGAUAUCCUCAGGAAAGUGGGAAAAUUGGACCCUGGCCUGCUAUGACAAUGCCCUGAAGCAGUCCGCACCAGGGGCUCCCUUGUGCCUGCAUAGCCUUUCCCAGGGUGUGCUCAAAUCCUGUGGCCACUAGGUGUCCUGGGUCACAAUGGAGGGCCCUGUGUCAUCUGCCUGUUGGGCUGGAUCUCUGCCAUUGGCUGAGUCUUGUCACCAGGCCCAUCAUAAGCUCUGCCCACUCUUCCUGUGGGGGGACUGUCUCCAUGGUGAUGGCAAAGAAGCCUGAGUUCCGCCCACCUGGCCUUGACUUCACCUACCUGGCCUGCUGACCCUCACUCAGACCUCUGUGUUGAUCAAAAUGAAUGUCCGCCAGUGGCCAGGUGUCAGCAUCUGGGAUAAAGGAUUGGGGACCUUGCCUGGGGCAGAAGGCAGCCUAGGUCUGUGGGUACCUGGAAGUCUUGUGACUUCUGCCGCUGCUGCCAGUGACAGAUGGUGACUCCCACACUCACAUAUCCCCUGGUGGCAGAAGGAUAGUGAUGGGCGGAGAAACAUGGCUCCGGAGCACACUUUAAAUGCGGCACCAGCCAAAGGCCAGGGCAAGGAGUGGACGUCGUGGAGCUUAAUUGCAAGCCAGUGAAGGGCCCAAGGAUUUCUCCUAUAUGUGGCAAACAGGUCAUCCGUGUCCCCACGUCCAUAAACCAUUGGACUGCAGUGCCAGACUGCCAGGAUUUCGGCCUUGCCAUUGGAGCCCGUCCACAUACGCUGCGUUGCACCGGAGGCGGGGACAUGUAGACAGCAAAAAUUUGGAAAAUGGCAUCAUCUCUUCAAUUUCCCUAGCAUUGGCCUUUUUCAGUGGCAUGCUUUGUUUCCUAGUAGGAUAAGGCACUGACGGAGAAAGGCAGGAGUAUGUGUGUAGGAAAGGUGUGUGCCGAAAGGGUGACGACGUUGAGACCACGUUGGGAUCUUUAGUCCCAGGAAAGGCCCCUGGCAGGUGUGGGUCAAUGUUCUCUGCUCAUCCGAGUUGGCGGGGGAGGUUUUCACCAAACAAAGCAGCAGUGGAAUUAUUCGUAGCCUGAGAGGUUGCAUCUGCCCACAAGCUCCACCUGGCCAGGGUCCGCCCCUACUGUAUUGCCCAUGUCAAUCAACAGAAGCUAAGACCUUCCAGAGAGACUACCUGCUAUUGUCUACCCACCGGGAAGCGGUCCAGCCAGAAGCCUCCCCCGUUUCAUCUCCAGGCUCUCUGUCAGGCCCCUCAUACUUGUGAUGUGUCUCAGGGGUAGAAGGAAGAGAUUUCUCUGAAUGAACACAUCCAGAGAGGAGCCAUAGAUGCUGAGGAAGGGCGCCUUGUCUACUGAUAUCCUAGCGUAAGUGUAAAAGAGGUACCUGCCUGCUGUCCCAGUGUGUCGAACGUGUCCACAUCAGGGGUUGGCUACUGUAAAAUUAUUCCCUGGUGCCCUCGAUUUUGUGGCCAAAGACACGAGGGGCCGUUGUGUGUCCAUGGGUACAAUGGAGGGCUCUGCGGAACGGGCUGGUUAGGCUGGACUUCUCCUAUUGGCUCAGUGUUUGUGACUCGUCCCCGUCAGAAGUUCCGCCCAGCCUUCUGGUGGCUGUCUCCAUGAGGAUUGGGAAAGAAGCCCUAGGCCCCGCACUCGGCCUUCACCUGGCCUACCUGGCCUCUUUACCCUCAUCUAGACCGCUCUGUGCAUGAAAGAAAGGAUGUCGGCCACUGACCAAGCAUCCUCAUUUCCUUGGAAGUAUUAGGCUCCUUGCGUGGGCAGAAGACAGCCAAGGUCAGCCUGAGCCUAGACACCUAGUGACCUGUGACACUGCAGCCAGCGAUAGAUGUUGAUGUCCACGCUCAGGUAUCCGCAGUUGACGGAUUCAGAGUGGUCAGAGGAGAAGUGUAACUAGAGAUCACACACUCAUGAGGGCACGGGCCAAAGGUCAGGGAAAAUAGCUGAGGUCGUGGAGCUCUAGCGGAGCCAGUCAAGGGCCCAGGCCUCCCUCCUGUACGUGGCAAAGAGGUGUCACCUUCCGCAGAGUAUGCUGCCACCCGCAGACUCUGGACUGCUGGGGCCCUGGAUGCCCGGAUUUCGGCCUUGUGUUUGGAGAAGUGACGUGCAUGCAGUGUGCCACCGGGGGCUGUGGCCCAGCAGAAGCAAAAUCUUGAAAAUGGGAGCUUCAGUUGACUUUGCGUGUUCUCUCCCUUGGCUGAGUGCCAUCCUGUGUUUCCUAGCAGGAGAAGGCAUUCGUGGAGAAAGGCAGAUUCCAUGUGUGCAGGCAAAGUGUGUGCUGACAUGAUGAGACCCUGGAGACCAGGGUGGACUCUUCAGACCCAGGACAGGCCUCUGGCAGGUAUGUGUCAAUGUUUUCUGCCCGUGGCACUCAACCGGGUAUUUGCAUACAGUGUCAUCAGCAGAAUUAGUAGUCUCCGGAGAGGCUACCACAUGUCAGCAAGCUUCACCUGGCCAGAGUCCACCCGUGAUGUAGCUCCCCAAUCAGUCACUACUGUCUAGACCUUCCAGAUAGACUAGCAGAUCUUCUCUGCCCAUGGGCAACCAGUAGAGCCAGAGGCCUUCCCCCUUUGCUCUUUCGUCUCUAGGCUCUCUAUCAGGCACUCCAAGCUGUGAAGUGACUCAGGGAGAGAAGGAAGAGAUUUCAGAGAAUGAACACAUACAGAGAGAGAGGCAAGAGAUGCUGAGUGGGGAUGUCUUGCGUACUGAUAUCCUCAGGAAAGUGGGAAAAUUGGACCCUGGCCUGCUCUGCCAAUGCCGUGAAGCAGUCCACUCCAGGGGCUCCCUUGUGCCUGCAUAGCCUUUCCCAGGGUGUGCUCAAAUCCUGUGGCCACUAGGUGUCCUAGGUCACAAUGGAGGACCCUGUGUCAUCUGCCUGGCGGACUGGAUCUCUGCCAUUGGCUGAGUCUUGUCACCAGGCCCAUCAUAAGCUCUGCCCACUCUUCCGGUGGGGAGACUCUCUCCAUGGUGAUGGCAAAGAAACCUUAGUCCUGCCCACCUGGCCUUCACUUCACGUA